AACGAACGCUGGCGGCAGGCUUAACACAUGCAAGUCGAACGCCCCGCCAGGGGAGUGGCCGACGGGUGAGUACCGCGUGGGAACAUACCCUUUUCUAAGGAAUAGCUCUGGGAAACUGGAAUUAAUACCGUAUACGCCCUACGGGGGAAAGAUUUAUCGGGGAAGGAUUGGCCCGCGUUGGAUUAGCUAGUUGGUGGGGUAAAGGCCUACCAAGGCGACGAUCCAUAGCUGGUCUGAGAGGAUGAUCAGCCACAUUGGGACUGAGACACGGCCCAAACUCCUACGGGAGGCAGCAGUGGGGAAUAUUGGACAAUGGGCGCAAGCCUGAUCCAGCCAUGCCGCGUGAGUGAUGAAGGCCUUAGGGUUGUAAAGCUCUUUCACCGAUGAAGAUAAUGACGGUAGUCGGAGAAGAAGCCCCGGCUAACUUCGUG
rnacentral:rRNA from 1 species